rnacentral:ncRNA from 2 species
UCGCGUUCUCCGGGGAGCCGCGUCAGAAUGGCUGAGAGAGGGGCUAGCCCCUGACCCGUCGAACCUGAUCCGGGUCAUGCCGGCGAAGGGAUGGGAAUUGAGCGCGAUG